UAGUCCACGCUGUAAACGAUGGUCACUAGGUGUUCGGCCGGAAUAGGCUGAGUGCCCAAGCGAAAGCGAUAAGUGACCCACCUGGGGAGUACGUUCGCAAGAAUGAAACUCAAAGGAAUUGACGGGGGCCCGCACAAGCGGUGGAGCAUGUGGUUUAAUUCGAUGAUACGCGAGGAACCUUACCUGGGCUAGAAUGUGGGAUGCUGUGCGGCGAAAGUUGCAUUUCCUUCGGGACAUCUUACAAGGUGCUGCAUGGUUGUCGUCAGCUCGUGCCGUGAGGUGUUGGGUUAAGUCCCGCAACGGGCGCAACCCCUAUCCUUAGUUGCCAGCAAGUUAAGUUGGGGACUCUAAGGAGACUGCCUCCGCAAGGAGCGAGGAAGGCGGGGACGACGUCAAAUCAUCAUGGCCCUUACGCCCAGGGCGACACACGUGCUACAAUGGACGGUACAGCGGGUAGCGAGCCUGCGAAGGUUAGCCAAUCUCCAAAAGCCGUUCUCAGUUCGGA
rnacentral:rRNA from 1 species